rnacentral:tRNA from 1 species
UGCCCCCGUAGCUCAGUGGAUAGAGCAGCGGUUUCCUAAACCGAAGGUCGCAAGUUCAAUUCUUGCCGGGGGUGCCC